rnacentral:tRNA from 1 species
GCCGGGGUGGCGGAACUGGCUGACGCGCUUGACUCAAAAUCAAGUGGGGGAAACCCCUUGCGGGUUCGAGUCCCGCCCCCGGCACCA